UACGUAGGGUGCAAGCGUUGUCCGGAAUUAUUGGGCGUAAAGAGCUCGUAGGCGGUUUUUUGCGUCGGCUGUGAAAUCCCGAGGCUCAACCUCGGGUCUGCAGUCGAUACGAGCAAACUAGAGUGUUGCAGGGGAGACUGGAAUUCCUGGUGUAGCGGUGAAAUGCGCAGAUAUCAGGAGGAACACCGGUGGCGAAGGCGGGUCUCUGGGCAACAACUGACGCUGAGGAGCGAAAGCGUGGGGAGCGAACAGG
rnacentral:rRNA from 1 species